rnacentral:rRNA from 1 species
CGCUGGCGGCGUGGAUAAGACAUGCAAGUCGAACGAGAACUUUCUCUGUAGCAAUACAGAGGAAGUUUUAGUGGCGAACGGGUGCGUAACACGUGGGCAAUCUGCCUUAAAGUGGGGGAUAGCUCGGCGAAAGCCGAAUUAAUACCGCAUAUGAUCAGCUCAGACAUCUGAGCGACAUCAAAGCCGGGGUAACCUGGCGCUUUUAGAGGAGCCCGCGGCCUAUCAGCUAGUUGGUGAGGUAACGGCUCACCAAGGCUAUGACGGGUAGCUGGUCUGAGAGGACGACCAGUCACACUGGAACUGAGACACGGUCCAGACACCUACGGGUGGCAGCAGUCGAGAAUUUUUCUCAAUGGGGGAAACCCUGAAGGAGCGACGCCGCGUGGAGGAUGAAGGCUUUCGGGUUGUAAACUCCUGUCAUUUGAGAACAAGGGUAGCUAAGUAACUACUAGCUACUUGAUAGUAUCAGAAGAGGAAGAGACGGCUAACUCUGUGCCAGCAGCCGCGGUAAUACAGAGGUCUCAAGCGUUGUUCGGAUUCAUUGGGCGUAAAGGGUGCGUANGUGGCGCGCUAAGUCAGGUGUGAAAUUUCGGAGCUUAACUCCGAAACUGCAUUUGAUACUGGCGUGCUU